AGUGAACGCUGGCGGUAGGCCUAACACAUGCAAGUCGAACGGCAGCACAGUAAGAGCUUGCUCUUACGGGUGGCGAGUGGCGGACGGGUGAGGAAUACAUCGGAAUCUACUUUUUCGUGGGGGAUAACGUAGGGAAACUUACGCUAAUACCGCAUACGACCUACGGGUGAAAGCAGGGGAUCUUCGGACCUUGCGCGAUUGAAUGAGCCGAGGUCGGAUUAGCUAGUUGGCGGGGUAAAGGCCCACCAAGGCGACGAUCCGUAGCUGGUCUGAGAGGAUGAUCAGCCACACUGGAACUGAGACACGGUCCAGACUCCUACGGGAGGCAGCAGUGGGGAAUAUUGGACAAUGGGCGCAAGCCUGAUGCAGCCAUACCGCGUGGGUGAAGAAGGCCUUCGGGUUGUAAAGCCCUUUUGUUGGGAAAGAAAAGCAGCAGGUUAAUACCCCGCUGUUCUGACGGUACCCAAAGAAUAAGCACCGGCUAACUACGUG
rnacentral:rRNA from 1 species